rnacentral:rRNA from 1 species
CCCUUAGAUGUCCUGGGCUGCACGCGCGCUACACUGAUGUGUUCAAUAAGCACCUAACCUACUCCGAAGGGACUGGGUAACCUUUGCAAAGCACAUCGUGAUGGGGAUAGAUUAUUGCAAUUAUUAGUCUUGAACGAGGAAUUCCUAGUAAGCACAAGUCAUCAGCUUGUGUUGAUUACGUCCCUGCCCUUUGUACACACCGCCCGUCGCUCCUACCGAUUGAAUGUUCCGGUGAGCUCUUCGGACUGCGCGGUCUGCAGUUUCUGCGUUCCGUGCGGAAAGUUGCGCAAACCUUAACAUUUAGAGGAAGGAGAAGUCGUAACA